rnacentral:ncRNA from 1 species
GGGGAAAAAUGCUUUGUGGUUUUUCUUCUGACUUGUUACAGUGAAUUCAGAUUCUGCCAAAGUUGACUUUUCCUUUCAUUCUUUCAGCAUCGAUGAAAUAAAGUACCAUUUUAGUUAGCUCUUCCUUGAUUUGAUGGGUGGUGGUGGUGCAUGGCUGUUCUCAGUUGGUGGAGCAACCUGUCUGGUUGUUUCUGAUGACAAAUGAGUCUCUGGAUUGCUAACUAGUGCAUAGAUUAGUGUUUUUCUGUUGACAUGGUUGUGCUGAAGCCAUCAAUGGUAGCUCCAUGUGUAACCUGGGCUUGCUAUUACCACAGCUCUCCUUUGAGUGUAGCAUUGCAGCGAUGUCCAGCUGCCCUCACUGGUGAUCAUGGCAUGGCUGCAACAUCAGUUGUGGAGCAGUAGCAGUAAUCCAGUUGACUCAGCCUGUGCAAACUUGGCAGUGGUACAUCACAUCCAGGUCAAUCAGUUGACAAAUGCAGCACUUCUCAGAGGGACAGGUGGAAGAAAACUGCACAAGGUGAAGCAGUAACAGGUUUGUGAUGCCCUUUGAUGUCCAGGGCCACAUGCAUGCUACAUAGGAGGUAUCAGUGGGUGCAUUUCCCCUGACCCAAGAGACUCAGGAAUCCUUUGAACCUGAUAAUCGAUUUUUGGAAUUUGGACCUGGAAUGAACCCUGUGAAUGAGGAAUUCCAAGUAGGUGUGGGUCAUCAGCCCACAUCGACCAUGCCCCUGCCCUUUGUACACAUCACCUGUUGCUACUACCAAUCACAUGAUCUGGAGAAGUCCUCAGAUUUGGCCAAUGUGUCUGCAUUCAGGUGGCAGCAUUCUGUGUUAUCAUCGGUGUGUUUGCUGAUGGCUGAGAGAUGACCAAACCCAAUCGGUUAUAGGAAGUAAAAUUUGCAACAAGGUUGAUGUUAUUGACGAAUAACAA